GUGCGGUGAGGGCUCGUGAACGCGGACAGGGACCGCGCAAUGCAUUUUGGGAGUUUAGGACACGGAAGUUAGCAGCAGAGAYGGGUUAGCUGCGCAGUUUGUUUUGUUAUUGUUUUGGUUUUGUGAUCCACCGCAAAAGUACACUCAAAAGGUGAAUGAAAGCUGUGUUAUUAACAGCCGCAGUCCUUCUCACGAUCGGAGGGGGAAACUUAUAGCAAAGGGGGUGCGUUUUUUUUUCAGCCUUUCGGCAUGAAAACAACACAGGAAGCCAGGCUGCCGAGCUAACAGAUGGGUGGCAGCUGCCACGAACCAACAUCACCUUCAGGAGGAUUUCCAGAAAUAUGUUUGUGUGAUCRCGUCAUUUCCACACAGGCAAGCCAGCCUACGAGUUGUUGGAUUGUCAUCCUGACUGGGUACCUUCUUCCUGGGCGCACAGAAGUUCAAGCUGGAGGAAARUAGGAUCCUGAAGGAAGAGCUGUUCUGAAAUAAAUAAUAAAUAAAAAGAAUGAGCRAUUCUUACAAGAUGAUGUGAUGGUCAAGUAUUUCACUGGACUUCCAUGUUUGGCUGUUUUUGAUGGGAGAGCUGACUCAGCUACUUCUGUCUAACACAGACUUGAAACUGAGCUGAACAUGAAAAUUGUUCCACAUAGGAGUGUUGUAUAAAUGACUGAAGAAUAUUUCAGUUUUGAGUUUCUUUAUUUAUGAAAAAAUGUUGAUAAUGUUGAUGUUUAUAACAUAUAAAGCAUGUCAAGGUUACAGUAACUGAACUGUAAAUGCCACUGUGAGCAAAUAAAAUACAAUUUGAAUACAAACUAAAAUUUAAACUGAAAAUGUACUGCAGAUAUUUCACGUGAAUAGUGUUCUAAUAAAACCGAUGGAGUGGCAGUUUAAUCUGAAAUAUGCACCAUUUCUGUAYACAAGUAAGUGAAUAAAAAUAUUGUAAGCAUAUUUGCUGCUAAUGAAAAAUAAAACUUGAAAAAAAAAACUG